AGCAGGCCAGAGGUGAGCAACUCCUCAAAUGCAGAGCCCUGUCUCCAGAAGCCAAGGAUGAAGGUAUUGCCUGUUGAGAAUCUCCCAAGCCUGGCUGACAUUGUCAAAGAUGGGUAUGGUAUCUCUUAUCCAUGUAUUCCCAUCUGUCCUUGCAUUGGUUUCUGGAGUAGUUACUAAAGUACAACAAAGAGGAUAUUGCUUUUAAUAAGUCUUGUUGACAUUGUGAAAGGAGAGUCAAGGUUCUUAUGAAAGAGAAGUCAACAGAUUUCUUGCAGGCCAGGGAUCUGCUUCUCAAACGAAGACUUGACAUUGCUACACUUUAUCAUUGUAAAUGUAAUGCGGAGUUAACUUGCUCCGGCUCUAAUAUACUUAGAGUUGGCAAGAACUAGUAUCUUUUAAGUCUAGAUUUGAAGAACUCCAGUCGUUAUUACGAAAAAAAUUUCAGUCUUAAGUCCCGAGUCGAGUCCUUUAUUGAUUUUUUUAAGUGCAACUUUAAAGGAAUCGAGUCUUCGAAUAAAGAAUUCGUCAAUAAUUUUAUAGCUUUUAUCUACGAGUAACCCAUCAAAAAAACAAUAAUGUGGAGACAAUGGCUUUUGGAAAACUUUUGUACAUAAUUUGAGAGUUAUCUUUAAAGGGCUCAAGUGUUUACAAAAGACUUAGGUCUCGAUAAGCACUCAGGUUUCGACUUAAUGAAUACUGAGUCGAGUCUUAAAGCAAAAGACUCAAAGCACUUGAGUCUUAACCAUACUGAAAAAAAAGAGCUAUCGAGCACACUUUAGUGAUUUUCAUUAUUUCAUUAGGAUUUACUGCUGUAUACAAUAUCAACAAAUGUUUAAAACAGUAACAUUAACUGUUUGAACAUUUCUAAGUAUUAAAAAAACUAUAAAAAUAAACGCACUACAUUUUAGCUACUCAAAACAAGGUUUACUGUCUUUUUUACAAGCUUUUAUUUAACUUGCCCUGUUAGUAUGUAAGGCCCAAAUCUUGCAAGUUAAAUUUAGCCCACUUCCCGGUUUCCGAUGAAGCUGAAAAUUUGCAUACAUAUGAACUCUGUGAUAAAACAACGCAACCCAAUUGUGUUUGGGGUUUUUAGAAUUGUCUUGACGAGUAUUAGUUGCCUGUGAAAAAAAAGUACAGUCAGCGAUAAAAGCUUAUACCAAAAAUGAAAUUCUUUCCAAAAC